UACAGAGGGGGCAAGCGUUGUUCGGAAUUACUGGGCGUAAAGGGCGCGUAGGCGGCCGCCUAAGUCAGACGUGAAAUCCCUCGGCUCAACCGGGGAACUGCGUCUGAUACUGGAUGGCUUGAGAUUGGGAGAGGGAUGCGGAAUUCCAGGUGUAGCGGUGAAAUGCGUAGAUAUCUGGAGGAACACCGGUGGCGAAGGCGGCAUCCUGGACCAACACUGACGCUGAUGAGCGAAAGCCAGGGGAGCAAACGGG
rnacentral:rRNA from 1 species